GGUCGGUUAGCUCAGUCGGUAGAGCAUCGCAAUAACAUUCACUCCAAGUUUCGGAGCAAUAAUUACUGCGAAGGCCAUAGGUUCAAGCCCUAUACUGACCA